AGUGGAAAGGGUGUUUGUGUCUUGGUUCAAAAGACAGGUGUCUGCCAAGGAAGGUGGGAACCUCCCUUGGAAAGGAGAAUAUGACCCCCUUCCCUCCGAAUUAUUAGCACUUUGAAAUUACAGGGCUUUCAGGCAGAGACAUGAGAAAAGGAGCAGCAGUUCCUUACUAGCAUGUGUGUGUAAGAAGGCAAACAAGCAGCAGCCCGGCAGCACCGAGGGCAGACGCAGAGCCCAGGGCGGCCUUCUCCCGGCCCAGCCCCUUCCCUGCGCUGCAGUUCCGCGCGCAGCCAGCAGGGGCGCUGCUGGCUCCCGGCCGGGCGGGGCGGGGCCAUGAUUCCCCCGCGGCUGCAGGGGGCGCUGUGGCGCAGCUCGGCCGCCCCUCUGCGCACGGCAAUGGCGGCGCGCUGGGGCAGCGAUGGAGAAGGGGCUUCCUCUGGAGCCUCAGGGACAGCCGGUCCCGCUGCACCUCCGGGUGCUGAAACGCACUGCAGCAGGAACCUUGGAAGCAGCUGGAACGGCAGAGGCGGGCACACCCAGGGUGACAAAUAAAAUGAUUUUCUCCUGAGAAGCCUCAGAAAAGAAAUGUAAACAAUCACCUAUCGGAUUGCUUUGUAAUGUGGUCUGGAGAUGGUUUACCAACAGAUGCAUCUUUGAUUAUCUCAUGACUGCUCGUGGAACAAAAUGGAAGAUCCCCAUUCACAGCAACCACAUGGAUCCUGAUAUGAGAAACUACGCUUACUUUUAAAAUUUCAAAGGUUUAUUAAACCUUAACAAAAAUACAGAAUACAGAAUGUUAGAAAUGAAUAAUGUGAUGGUUGGCUCUCACAAUUAAGAGAUGGAUAUUAUGUGUAUGUUAAGAAAAGUUUUGUAAAUGUAUAGUGAAGUUACUGUUAUAUGUCCUCCCAUAGUCUUCUUUCCUGUCCCCCUUGUAAUGGCCUUGGUAGUGAGGGCAUUUGGGAGGGCUGGCUUCUUACCAGGAGGUGCAACAUGACAACAUGACCUGGCCUCCAAUCAAGAUGUAAGAAAGUAAUCUGCUUUAAUUGAUGGCAGAGAAAGAGUUAAUUGACAAAAUAUUUGGAGGCACUAAGAGUAUAAAAGACAGAGCAUCCAUUUUGAAAACAAGCACGUGGCUGCUAGUUACGGAGACUCCCAGCACUGUAAUUUUUCCUUAUUCAGUCCUUUGUUGUAUUUUUUGUUAAGGUUUAAUAAACCUUUGACAUUUUAGAAGUGAGUGCCAUUUCUCACAUGAAUAAGGAAAAAUUACAGCGCUGGGAGCAUGAAACUAAACUGCCAUGUGCUUGUCCUUAUCUCUGGAGCUAGGGUCAUAAUUCCACGAGGCUAGUUUCUUUCUCAGUGGGCAAUGUGUGGGUACAUCUAUUGGUAUCUCUUCACUUCUUCCUUCACCCAUUGGGGAUUCUCUACUGGCUCCCAAUCCCAU